rnacentral:rRNA from 1 species
GUACGGGAGGCAGCAGUGGGGAAUAUUGGGCAAUGGGGGAAACCCUGACCCAGCAACGCCGCGUGAAGGAAGAAGGCCUUCGGGUUGUAAACUUCUGUGACAGGGGACGAAAAAAAUGACGGUACCCUGAGAGGAAGCCACGGCAAACUACGUGCCAGCAGCCGCGGUAAUACGUAGGUGGCGAGCGUUGUCCGGAAUCACUGGGCGUAAAGGGCGCGUAGGCGGCUAUUCAAGUCGCAUGUGAAAUUCCAGGGCUUAACCUUGGGGGGUCAUGCGAAACUGAGUGGCUUGAGUGCAGUAGAGGAAAGCGGAAUUCCUGGUGUAGCGGUAAAAUGCGUAGAGAUCAGGAGGAACACCGGUGGCGAAGGCGGCUUUCUGGGCUGCAACUGACGCUGAGGCGCGAAAGCGUGGGGAGCAAACAGGAUUAGAUACCCUGGUAGUCG